ACGAACGUUGGCGGCGUGGAUUAGGCAUGCAAGUCGAACGAAUCCCGGGGGGGUAACUCUCCGGGGGAAGUGGCGAAAGGGGCAGUAAGGCGUGGGUAACCUACCCCGGGGACCGGGAUAGCCAUCCUAACGGAUGGGUAAUACCGGGCGAUUUGAGCGGGGGGCAUCUCCUGCUCAGGAAAUGAAUUUCGCCUCGGGAGGGGCUCACGUGGUAUUAGCUUGUUGGUGAGGUAACGGCUCACCAAGGCCAAGAUGCCUAGCAGGUGUGAGAGCACGACCUGCGCCACUGGCACUGUGACACUGGCCAGACUCCUACGGGAGGCUGCAGUCGAGGAUCUUCGGCAAUGGGCGCAAGCCUGACCGAGCGACGCCGCGUGUGCGAUGAAGCCCUUCGGGGUGUAAAGCUCUUUCGGCAGGGACGAUUAUGACGGUACCUGCAGAAGCAGCUGCGACUAACUACGUGCCAGCAGCCGCGGUAAGACGAACUGUCCUAACGUUGUUCGGAAUCACUGGGCUUAAAGGGCGCGUAGGCGGUCCGACAAGUCGGGGGUGAAAUCCUGCAGCUUAACUGCAGAAGUGCCUUCGAUACUGUCGGUCUUGAGGGAGAUAGGGGUGUGCGGAACUUCCAGUGGAGCGGUGAAAUGCGUUGAUAUUGGAAGGAACGCCGGAGGCGAAAGCGGCGCACUGGAUCUCUUCUGACGCUGAGGCGCGAAAGCUAGGGGAGCAAACGGGAUUAGAUACCCCGGUAGUCCUAGCCCUAAACGAUGAGUACUAGAUUGUAGACUUACAUGGGUUUACAGUCGAAGCAAAAGUGUUAAGUACUCCGCCUGGGGAGUAUGGUCGCAAGGCUGAAACUCAAAGAAAUUGACGGGGGCUCACACAAGCGGUGGAGCAUGUGGCUUAAUUCGAGGCUACGCGAAGAACCUUAUCCUAGGCUUGACAUGUGCGAAAGCGGCAGGGGGUAGCUUCCCGGAGACGGGAGGCGAAGGUAUCCAAUCCUGAACCUGCUACAGGUGCUGCAUGGCUGUCGUCAGCUCGUGUCGUGAGAUGUCGGGUUAAGUCCCAUAACGAGCGAAACCCUUGCUUCCAGUUGCCAGCGAGUAAUGUCGGGGACUCUGGAAGGACUGCCGGUGUUAAACCGGAGGAAGGUGGGGAUGACGUCAAGUCCUCAUGGCCUUUAUGCCUAGGGCUGCACACGUGCUACAAUGCAACGAACAAAGGGAAGCCAACCCGCGAGGGGGAGCCAAUCUCAAAAAACGUUGCCCAGUUCAGAUCGUAGGCUGCAACUCGCCUACGUGAAGUUGGAAUCGCUAGUAAUCGCAGGUCAGCAACACUGCGGUGAAUGUGUUCCUGAGCCUUGUACACACCGCCCGUCAAGCCACGAAAGAGAGGAGCGCCCGAAGUCGCGUCAAAGUGCCGAAGGCGAAACUCUUGAUUGGGACU
rnacentral:rRNA from 1 species